GACGAACGCUGGCGGCGUGCUUAACACAUGCAAGUCGAACGGAAAGGCCCUGCUUUUGUGGGGUGCUCGAGUGGCGAACGGGUGAGUAACACAUGAGUAACCUGCCCUUGACUUUGGGAUAACUUCAGGAAACUGGGGCUAAUACCGGAUAGGAGCUCCUGCUGCAUGGUGGGGGUUGGAAAGUUUCGGCGGUUGGGGAUGGACUCGCGGCUUAUCAGCUUGUUGGUGGGGUAGUGGCUUACCAAGGCUUUGACGGGUAGCCGGCCUGAGAGGGUGACCGGCCACAUUGGGACUGAGAUACGGCCCAGACUCCUACGGGAGGCAGCAGUGGGGAAUAUUGCACAAUGGGCGGAAGCCUGAUGCAGCAACGCCGCGUGCGGGAUGACGGCCUUCGGGUUGUAAACCGCUUUCGCCUGUGACGAAGCGUGAGUGACGGUAAUGGGUAAAGAAGCACCGGCUGACUACGUG
rnacentral:rRNA from 1 species